rnacentral:lncRNA from 1 species
GAUGGCGGACCCAUGUUGUUUGGUGGCACCCCUCCCAGGUUAUUGGGAGGCAUCUGAUUGUAGUUGUUGGGAGGCACCUGAUUGUAGUUGUUGGGAGGUGCCUGAUUGUAGUUGUUGGGAGGCCCAGAGUUCCAGUUGCUGCUUGGCGGGGGAUUAUUGUAGUUGUUUGGUGGACCCAUGUUGUGAGGCGGCAUUGGAGCCCUGUUGGGGGGUGGAGGACCCAUGUUGGGAGGCAUCGGGCCUGGACCCAUGUUGGGAGGUGGAGGACCCCUGUUGGGGGGUGGAGGACCCAUGUUGGCAGGUCCAGGUCCCGAAUUUGGGCCAGCUUGAUUAGGCAUAGGAGAUGGACCGGUAUUUUCCCUCCUCCUUUCAAAGUUCCUGGAUCUGUCAAAGUUACGAG